AAAACUUUCAACAACGGAUCUCUUGGUUCCGGCAUCGAUGAAGAACGCAGCGAAAUGCGAUACGUAAUGUGAAUUGCAGAAUUCAGUGAAUCAUCGAGUCUUUGAACGCACAUUGCGCCCCCUGGUGUUCCGGGGGGCAUGCCUGUCCGAGCGUCAU
rnacentral:rRNA from 1 species